rnacentral:lncRNA from 1 species
UUUACUCAAAUCGACCGCGUAUAUCGCGCUUUCCGUCCAACCGCCGGCUUCCGGCAUUUGGGUGAAACUUCCCGAACAACGCGACGCCGAAAACACGCGACUGACGACGACGAUACCCUCCUUUCUCCUCUUUUCAGGCCAAGUCUGUGUCCAAGGUCAUCAAGGCCGACAUCUACCCCGAGUUCGGCACCUACCCCGGCGGCGGCGAGUCCCCCAUCAUCCCCUUCGGCUCCGAGAAGAACGCCGAGCGUGAGGUCAUCCACGGCCGCUGGGCGAUGCUCGGCGUGACCGGUGCCUGGGCCGCCGAGAACGGCACCGGCAUCCCCUGGUUCACCGCCGGUACCCUCUGCACCCCCGACGACUGCACCGCCGUCGCGGACAAGUUCCCCGGCGCCGUCGCUCCCCUCGCCCCCGAGGGCUCCGGCUACCCCUCCUUCUGGGCCGUCCUCGCCAUCGAGGUCGUCCUCGUCGGCCUCGCUGAGGCUUACCGCACCGGCCUCUCCGACCCCGUCUUCGACGAGCUCACCGUCGGUGACGUGUCCCCCGGUGGCCGCUUCGACCCCCUCGGCCUCGCCGAGUCCGGUGACCUCGAGGAGCUCAAGAUCAAGGAGCUCAAGCACUGCCGCCUCUCCAUGUUCGCGUGGCUCGGCUGCAUCAUGCAGGGUCUCGCCACCCAGGAGGGCCCCAUCGCCAACUGGCAGGCGCACGUCGCGGACCCCGUCCACGCCAACGUGCUCACCAACGCCGCCUCCGGCUUCGGCUUCUACUAAAUUGUGCGACCUCGCACGAUGGUAGUCCGUCCUGUUGUACCACUUGACUCUAGCGUUAGGUAGUUAGCCAAGGGAGAGUUGUAACAAAGCUUCUCGCUUCCACAAGUCUUAUGCUCCCGCACUCGAAAAAGCGAAUCCUCCGAACCGUACUGAACCAAUGAACCAACGCGAGCUUCGCGGGAAAUUAGAAAGUUCCCGAUUCUCGCUUUGUGGACCAAUGGGAGCGCGGCAGCCGCCGAAUGGAUCCGCUAAAUCCUCAUCGAUGGUUUGUUUUCUUCGAUGAAAUCCAGUUCAGGAGCUUUUCAUUGGCUUUUCAAGAGACGAGAAUCAAUUGCUGCGCUGUGACUGGCCGAAAAGGGAGAUUCUGUUGGCCUGAUUCGCAUCAAAGUGAGUAAAAAGCUGACUCGCCGCAACUCCCUCGCCAUUCCAGCACACGCAACUUUGCAACACACACACCAAAACUCAUUACUACAAUCAUGGCCUGCAUUGCCUCCUCCUUCACCGGCUCCGUCGCGGCCCUCAAGGCGACCAAGAUCCAGGUGCGCAUCGCAUCAUGCGCCGUGUUCCGUGUCCGUUCUCUUCUUCGGCAAAUGCCCAAAAAAACGCCGAAAUCGCGGGCCAAGGCUCCGCCGAAAACACGCGACUGACGACGACGAUGCCCUCCUUUCUCCUCUUUUCAGGCCAAGUCUGUUUCCAAGGUCAUCAAGGCCGACAUCUACCCCGAGUUCGGCACCUACCCCGGCGGCGGCGAGUCCCCCAUCAUCCCCUUCGGCUCCGAGAAGAACGCCGAGCGUGAGGUCAUCCACGGCCGCUGGGCGAUGCUCGGCGUGACCGGUGCCUGGGCCGCCGAGAACGGCACCGGCAUCCCCUGGUUCACCGCCGGUACCCUCUGCACCCCCGACGACUGCACCGCCGUCGCGGACAAGUUCCCCGGCGCCGUCGCUCCCCUCGCCCCCGAGGGCUCCGGCUACCCCUCCUUCUGGGCCGUCCUCGCCAUCGAGGUCGUCCUCGUCGGCCUCGCUGAGGCUUACCGCACCGGCCUCUCCGACCCCGUCUUCGACGAGCUCACCGUCGGUGACGUGUCCCCCGGUGGCCGCUUCGACCCCCUCGGCCUCGCCGAGUCCGGUGACCUCGAGGAGCUCAAGAUCAAGGAGCUCAAGCACUGCCGCCUCUCCAUGUUCGCGUGGCUCGGCUGCAUCAUGCAGGGUCUCGCCACCCAGGAGGGCCCCAUCGCCAACUGGCAGGCGCACGUCGCGGACCCCGUCCACGCCAACGUGCUCACCAACGCCGCCUCCGGCUUCGGCUUCUACUAAGCGGUGUGCCCAAGUUGCCACCCUUUGUCUCCGAAAAUGUUGUAAACCAGUGAACUACGUGUAAGGGAAUAACAACCCAAC